CUACGGGCUGCUCCAGUGGGGAAUAUUGCACAAUGGACGAAAGUCUGACGCAGCAACGCCGCGUGGAGGAUGACACAUUUCGGUGCGUAAACUCCUUUUAUAUAGGAAGAUAAUGACGGUACUAUAUGAAUAAGCGCCGGCUAACUCCGUGCCAGCAGCCGCGGUAAUACGGAGGGCGCAAGCGUUACUCGGAAUCACUGGGCGUAAAGAGCGUGUAGGCGGAUAGAUAAGUCAGGAGUGAAAUCCUAUGGCUCAACCAUAGAACUGCUCUUUAAACUGUCUAUCUAGAAUAUGGGAGAGGUAGAUGGAAUUUCUGGUGUAGGGGUAAAAUCCGUAGAGAUCAGAAGGAAUACCGAUUGCGAAGGCGAUCUACUGGAACAUUAUUGACGCUGAGACGCGAAAGCGUGGGGAGCAAACAGGAUUAGAUACCCCGGUAGUC
rnacentral:rRNA from 1 species